rnacentral:rRNA from 1 species
GGUUAAGCGACUAAGCGUACACGGUGGAUGCCCUGGCAGUCAGAGGCGAUGAAGGACGUGCUAAUCUGCGAUAAGCGUCGGUAAGGUGAUAUGAACCGUUAUAACCGGCGAUUUCCGAAUGGGGAAACCCAGUGUGUUUCGACACACUAUCAUUAACUGAAUCCAUAGGUUAAUGAGGCGAACCGGGGGAACUGAAACAUCUAAGUACCCCGAGGAAAAGAAAUCAACCGAGAUUCCCCCAGUAGCGGCGAGCGAACGGGGAGGAGCCCAGAGCCUGAAUCAGUGUGUGUGUUAGUGGAAGCGUCUGGAAAGGCGCGCGAUACAGGGUGACAGCCCCGUACACAAAAAUGCACAUGCUGUGAGCUCGAUGAGUAGGGCGGGACACGUGGUAUCCUGUCUGAAUAUGGGGGGACCAUCCUCCAAGGCUAAAUACUCCUGACUGACCGAUAGUGAACCAGUACCGUGAGGGAAAGGCGAAAAGAACCCCGGCGAGGGGAGUGAAAAAGAACCUGAAACCGUGUACGUACAAGCAGUGGGAGCACGCUUCGGCGUGUGACUGCGUACCUUUUGUAUAAUGGGUCAGCGACUUAUAUUCUGUAGCAAGGUUAACCGAAUAGGGGAGCCGAAGGGAAACCGAGUCUUAACUGGGCGUUAAGUUGCAGGGUAUAGACCCGAAACCCGGUGAUCUAGCCAUGGGCAGGUUGAAGGUUGGGUAACACUAACUGGAGGACCGAACCGACUAAUGUUGAAAAAUUAGCGGAUGACUUGUGGCUGGGGGUGAAAGGCCAAUCAAACCGGGAGAUAGCUGGUUCUCCCCGAAAGCUAUUUAGGUAGCGCCUCGUGAAUUCAUCUCCGGGGGUAGAGCACUGUUUCGGCAAGGGGGUCAUCCCGACUUACCAACCCGAUGCAAACUGCGAAUACCGGAGAAUGUUAUCACGGGAGACACACGGCGGGUGCUAACGUCCGUCGUGAAGAGGGAAACAACCCAGACCGCCAGCUAAGGUCCCAAAGUCAUGGUUAAGUGGGAAACGAUGUGGGAAGGCCCAGACAGCCAGGAUGUUGGCUUAGAAGCAGCCAUCAUUUAAAGAAAGCGUAAUAGCUCACUGGUCGAGUCGGCCUGCGCGGAAGAUGUAACGGGGCUAAACCAUGCACCGAAGCUGCGGCAGCGACACUAUGUGUUGUUGGGUAGGGGAGCGUUCUGUAAGCCUGUGAAGGUGUGCUGUGAGGCAUGCUGGAGGUAUCAGAAGUGCGAAUGCUGACAUAAGUAACGAUAAAGCGGGUGAAAAGCCCGCUCGCCGGAAGACCAAGGGUUCCUGUCCAACGUUAAUCGGGGCAGGGUGAGUCGACCCCUAAGGCGAGGCCGAAAGGCGUAGUCGAUGGGAAACAGGUUAAUAUUCCUGUACUUGGUGUUACUGCGAAGGGGGGACGGAGAAGGCUAUGUUGGCCGGGCGACGGUUGUCCCGGUUUAAGCGUGUAGGCUGGUUUUCCAGGCAAAUCCGGAAAAUCAAGGCUGAGGCGUGAUGACGAGGCACUACGGUGCUGAAGCAACAAAUGCCCUGCUUCCAGGAAAAGCCUCUAAGCAUCAGGUAACAUCAAAUCGUACCCCAAACCGACACAGGUGGUCAGGUAGAGAAUACCAAGGCGCUUGAGAGAACUCGGGUGAAGGAACUAGGCAAAAUGGUGCCGUAACUUCGGGAGAAGGCACGCUGAUAUGUAGGUGAAGUCCCUCGCGGAUGGAGCUGAAAUCAGUCGAAGAUACCAGCUGGCUGCAACUGUUUAUUAAAAACACAGCACUGUGCAAACACGAAAGUGGACGUAUACGGUGUGACGCCUGCCCGGUGCCGGAAGGUUAAUUGAUGGGGUUAGCGGUAACGCGAAGCUCUUGAUCGAAGCCCCGGUAAACGGCGGCCGUAACUAUAACGGUCCUAAGGUAGCGAAAUUCCUUGUCGGGUAAGUUCCGACCUGCACGAAUGGCGUAAUGAUGGCCAGGCUGUCUCCACCCGAGACUCAGUGAAAUUGAACUCGCUGUGAAGAUGCAGUGUACCCGCGGCAAGACGGAAAGACCCCGUGAACCUUUACUAUAGCUUGACACUGAACAUUGAGCCUUGAUGUGUAGGAUAGGUGGGAGGCUUUGAAGUGUGGACGCCAGUCUGCAUGGAGCCGACCUUGAAAUACCACCCUUUAAUGUUUGAUGUUCUAACGUUGACCCGUAAUCCGGGUUGCGGACAGUGUCUGGUGGGUAGUUUGACUGGGGCGGUCUCCUCCUAAAGAGUAACGGAGGAGCACGAAGGUUGGCUAAUCCUGGUCGGACAUCAGGAGGUUAGUGCAAUGGCAUAAGCCAGCUUGACUGCGAGCGUGACGGCGCGAGCAGGUGCGAAAGCAGGUCAUAGUGAUCCGGUGGUUCUGAAUGGAAGGGCCAUCGCUCAACGGAUAAAAGGUACUCCGGGGAUAACAGGCUGAUACCGCCCAAGAGUUCAUAUCGACGGCGGUGUUUGGCACCUCGAUGUCGGCUCAUCACAUCCUGGGGCUGAAGUAGGUCCCAAGGGUAUGGCUGUUCGCCAUUUAAAGUGGUACGCGAGCUGGGUUUAGAACGUCGUGAGACAGUUCGGUCCCUAUCUGCCGUGGGCGCUGGAGAACUGAGGGGGGCUGCUCCUAGUACGAGAGGACCGGAGUGGACGCAUCACUGGUGUUCGGGUUGUCAUGCCAAUGGCACUGCCCGGUAGCUAAAUGCGGAAGAGAUAAGUGCUGAAAGCAUCUAAGCACGAAACUUGCCCCGAGAUGAGUUCUCCCUGACCCUUUAAGGGUCCUGAAGGAACGUUGAAGACGACGACGUUGAUAGGCCGGGUGUGUAAGCGCAGCGAUGCGUUGAGCUAACCGGUACUAAUGAACCGUGAGGCUUAACCUU